AUUGAACGCUGGCGGCAGGCCUAACACAUGCAAGUCGAACGAGUGGCGGACGGGUGAGUAAUGUCUGGGAAACUGCCUGAUGGAGGGGGAUAACUACUGGAAACGGUAGCUAAUACCGCAUACCAUCAGAUGUGCCCAGAUGGGAGUCGCUAGUUGGUGGGGGAACGGCUCACAAAGGCGACGAUCCCUAUCUAGUCUGAGAGGAUGACCAGCCACAAUGGAGCUGAGACACGGUCCAGAAUCCGACGGGAGGCAGCAGUGGGGAAUAUUGCCCAAUGGGCGCAAGCCUGAUGCAGCCAUGCCGCGUGUAUGAAGAAGGCCUUCGGUUUGUAAAGUACUUUCAGCGGGGAGGCGUUACCCGAAGAAGAAGCACCGGCUAACUCCGUGCCAGCAGCCGCGGUAAUAC
rnacentral:rRNA from 1 species